CUCUCGGAACCAACACUACAGAAGGCCUCUAAGAAAAACUAGCUGAGCCCCAAGUGAACGAGAUAAGACUCUGAAGGAGACAAGGAAAGGAUUUGGACUUUAACUCCUGCCUGCAUUUGGGCUUCUGGGAGUUAUAAAUGUCAGCUGCACAUUGCUAUGCCUGCAAAGCAAGGUUCAUGUCUUACUUCUGGUACAAUUUGUUUGAUCCCAAGCUCUUUGAUCCCAAGCAAGUACUUCAGCAUCACAGUGAUGUCAAACAUAGAGCCCACAGACAAUAUUCUGAACUGCAACUCACAACAAAUUAAAAUAUAGAAGGGAAAUAUUUAACAAAAUAAACAAAAAUAGAUGA